AGAGAGAGAGAGAGAGAUUUAUUGACCUUAAAAUCUAAAGCACAGAAGAUAACCUAGUCUUAUUAAUCAUGUUUUACAUGCAUCCACUGGCCACACUACCUCAAAGCCACACUACUCAAAGCCACACUACUUCAAACUGUUGAAUUUCCACCUUUGAGUUUAAAAAGCUUCAGCAUAAGGGUUGAUUGUUUGAAAUUCAAUAACCCAGAAGUGGUCU
rnacentral:misc_RNA from 1 species